CGGUGUUUGGCACCUCGAUGUCGGCUCAUCACAUCCUGGGGCUGAAGCAGGUCCCAAGGGUAUGGCUGUUCGCCAUUUAAAGUGGUACGCGAGCUGGGUUUAGAACGUCGUGAGACAGUUUGGUCCCUAUCUGCCGUGGGCGUUGGAAAUUUGAGGAGAGCUGCUCCUAGUACGAGAGGACCGGAGUGGACGAACCUCUGGUGUUCGGGUUGUCACGCCAGUGGCAUUGCCCGGUAGCUAUGUUCGGACAGGAUAACCGCUGAAAGCAUCUAAGCGGGAAGCCCCCUCCAAGAUGAGAUUUCCCUGGGCCCUUGAGGCCCCUGAAGGGCUGUUUUAGACCAAGACGUUGAUAGGCCGGGUGUGUAAGCGUCGCGAGGCGUUGAGCUAACCGGUACUAAUUGCCCGUGAGGCUUGACCAUAUAAUAGA
rnacentral:rRNA from 1 species